rnacentral:rRNA from 1 species
CAGCACCUCGAGUGGUCAGGAUGAUUAUUGGGCCUAAAGCAUCCGUAGCCUGCUUUGUUAGUUUUCGGUUAAAUCCAUACGCUCAACGUAUGGGCUGCCGGGAAUACUGCAAAGCUAGGGAGUGGGAGAGGUAGACGGUACUCGGUAGGAAGGGGUAAAAUCCUUUGAUCUAUUGAUGACCACCUGUGGCGAAGGCGGUCUACCAGAACACGUCCGACGGUGAGGGAUGAAAGCUGGGGGAGCAAACCGGAUUAGAUACCCGCGUAGUCC